UUUAAUAUGGCAGAUUCAAGUGCAAUGAUUUUAAACAUCAUAUAUAAAAUUUAUAUUUUUAUUAAAA
rnacentral:tRNA from 1 species